CCUACGGGUGGCAGCAGUGAGGAAUAUUGGUCAAUGGACGAGAGUCCGAACCAGCCAAGUAGCGUGAAGGAUGACUGCCCUAUGGGUUGUAAACUUCUUUUAUAUGGGAAUAAAAUGUUCCACGUGUGGGAUUUUGUAUGUAACAUAUAAAUAAGGAUCGGGUUACGCCGUGCCAGCAGCCGCGGUAAUAAGGAGGAUCCGAGCGUUAUCCGGAUUUAUUGGGUUUAAAGGGGGUGUUGGUGGGUUUUUAAGUCAGUUGUGAAAGUUUGCGGCUCAACCGUAACAUUGCAGUUGAAACUGGCAGUCGUGAGUAGGGUAGAGGUAGGCGGAAUGCGUGGUGUAGCGGUGAAAUGCUUAGAUAUCACGAAGAACUCCGAUUGCGAAGGCAGCUCACUGGCCUGCAACUGACACUGAGGCUCGAAAGUGUGGGUAUCGAACAGGAUUAGAUACCCGGGUAGUC
rnacentral:rRNA from 1 species